rnacentral:rRNA from 1 species
CGAUGCAACGCGAAGAACUUACCUGGGCUUGACAUACACCACGAUCGGCGCAGAGAUGCGUUUUCCCUUGUGGUUGGUGUACAGGUGGUGCAUGGUUGUCGUCAGCUCGUGUCGUGAGAUGUUGGGUUAAGUCCCGCAACGAGCGCAACCCUUGUCUUAUGUUGCCAGCACGUGAUGGUGGGGACUCAUGAGAGACUGCCGGGGUUAACUCGGAGGAAGGUGGGGAUGACGUCAAAUCAUCAUGCCCCUUAUGUCCAGGGCUUCACACAUGCUACAAUGGUCGGUACAACGCGUGUGCGACACUGUGAGGUGAAGCUAAUCGCUCUAAAGCCGGUCGUAGUUCGGAUUGGGGUCUGCAACUCGACCCCAUGAAGUCGGAGUCGCUAGUAAUCGCAGAUCAGCAACGCUGCGGUGAAUACGUUCCCGGGCCUU